rnacentral:rRNA from 1 species
GAUCAUGGCUCAGGAUGAACGCUAGCUACAGGCUAACACAUGCAAGUCGAGGGGCAGCGAGAGGAAGCUUGCUUCCUGUCGGCGACCGGCGCACGGGUGAGUAACGCGUAUCCAACCUUCCCCUUAGUAGGGCAUAGCCCGGCGAAAGUCGGAUUAAUACCCUAUGUUUUCCGAUGAGGACAUCUGAGCUGGAACAAAGAUUUAUCGCUAAGGGAUGGGGAUGCGUCUGAUUAGGUAGUCGGCGGGGUAACGGCCCACCGAGCCUACGAUCAGUAGGGGUUCUGAGAGGAAGGUCCCCCACAUUGGUACUGAGACACGGACCAAACUCCUACGGGAGGCAGCAGUGAGGAAUAUUGGUCAAUGGGCGCGAGCCUGAACCAGCCAAGUAGCGUGCAGGAAGAACCUGCCCUAUGGGUUGUAAACUGCUUUUAUGCGGGGAUAAAGUGCAGCACGUGUGCUGUUUUGUAGGUACCGCAUGAAUAAGGACCGGCUAAUUCCGUGCCAGCCGCUGC